rnacentral:rRNA from 1 species
UACGUAGGGACCAAGCGUUGUUCGGAUUUACUGGGCGUAAAGGGCGCGUAGGCGGCAAUUCAAGUCAGCUGUGAAAUCUCCGGGCUUAACUCGGAACGGUCAGCUGAUACUGCUUUGCUAGAGUGCAGAGGGGGCAAUCGGAAUUCUUGGUGUAGCGGUGAAAUGCGUAGAUAUCAGGAAGAACACCCGUGGCGAAGGCGGCUCUCUGGGACGGUACUGACGCUGAGACGCGAAAGCGUGGGGAGCGAACAGG